UACAGAGACUGCAAGCGUUAUUCGGAUUCACUGGGCGUAAAGGGUGCGCAGGCGGCCAAGUGUGUUAGGCGUGAAAGCCCGAGGCUUAACCUCGGAAUUGCACCUAAAACUACAUGGCUAGAGUACUGGAGAGGGUAACGGAAUUCACGGUGUAGCAGUGAAAUGCGUAGAUAUCGUGAGGAACACCGGUGGCGAAGGCGGCUAUCUGGCCCAAUAUUGACGCUGAGAUGCGAAAGUGCGGGGAUCAAACAGG
rnacentral:rRNA from 1 species